UCAAGCUAAUAAGAGCGCAAGGGGAAUGCCUUGGCAUCAGGAGCCGAUGAAGGACGUGACAAGCUGCGAAAAGCUUCGGGGAGCUGCAAAUAAGCGAUGAUCCGGAGAUAUCCGAAUGUGGCAACACACUUGAGCAAUACUCAAGUAUCGCAUGCUGAAUAAAAUAGGUAUGCGAGGGGAACCGUCUGAACUGAAACAUCUAAGUAGGACGAGGAAAAGACAUCAACCGAGAUUCCGCUAGUAGUGGCGAGCGAACGCGGAAAAGGCUAAACCGAACGGAGCAAUCCGAUCGGGGUUUCGGACUGCAAUUAGCAUUGUCGAGUUUUAAUUGAACAGCAUGGGAAGGCUGACCGAAGAAGGUGAGAGUCCUGUAAGUGAAAAGACGAGACAGCGAGCAGAAUCCAGAGUACCGCCGGACACGUGAAACCCGGUGGGAAGACGGGGGGACCAUCCUCCAAGCCUAAAUACUACCUGAUGACCGAUAGCGAAGAGUACUGUGAAGGAAAGGUGAAAAGCACCCCGGGAGGGGAGUGAAAAAGAACCUGAAACCCUGUGCCUACAAGCACCUAGAGCACGUCAAUGUGUGAUAGGGUACUUUUUGUAGAACGGUCCGGCGAGCGAUUGUAUGCAGCAAGGUUAAGGACUUAAGGUCUGGAGCCGAAGCGAAAGCGAGUUUGAAAAGGGCGUUAAGUUGCAUACAAUGGGCCCGAAACCGGGUGACCUACCCAUGGUCAGGUUGAAGUGGAAGUAAAAUUCCAUGGAGGACCGAACCGACCUCCGUUGAAAAGGCGGCGGAUGAACUGUGGGUAGCGGAGAAAUUCCAAUCGAACCCGGAGAUAGCUGGUUCUCCCCGAAAUAGUUUUAGGACUAGCCUCAAGUUAGAUACCUGGAGGUAAAGCACUGAAUAGCCUAGCGGCCGAGAGGUUAGCGAAGCUUAUCAAACUCAGAAUGCCAGAGUAUUGAUGCUUGGGAGUCAGACAGUGUCAGAUAAAUGUCAUUGUCAAAAGGGAAACAGCCCAGAUCUACAGCUAAGGUCCCAAAGUCAGGUUAAGUGGAAAACGAUGUGAAGAUACGCAGACAACCAGGAUGUUGGCUCAGAAGCAGCCACUCAUUCAAAGAGUGCGUAAUAGCUCACUGGUCGAGCGUCUUUGCGCGGAGAAUUUAACGGGGCUAAACCUGACACCGAAGCUUAGGCAAUACAGCAAUGUAUUGGGUAGGGGAGCGUUGUAUACGCGGUGAAACAGUAGCGCAAGCGGCUGUGGAGUGUAUAGAAGUGAGAAUGCCGGAAUGAGUAGCGCGAAUGCAGUGAGAAUCUGCAUGGCCGAAAGCCUCAGGUUUCUGGAGGAAGGUUCGUCCGCUCCAGGUUAGUCGGGAGCUAAGGUGAGGCCUAACGGCGUAGCCGAUGCACAGACGGUAGAGAUUCCGUCACCACCAAAAGAGUUAAACACAGGGACACAUUUGAAGUCUCGGAGCCGGGUGUUGGUUCCGGUAGCGAUCGAGGGAAAUUAGUACCGAAGUCCGGGAUGGAAGAUGGCGAGAAAAGCUGUGUGUAUUUCUGCGGUGCCCGUACCGCAAACCGACACAGGUAGGUAGGAAGAAGAUUCUAAGGCCAACGGGAGAAGGGUUGUUAAGGAACUCGGCAAAUUGACCCCGUAACUUCGGGAGAAGGGGUGCUCCAGAGAUGGAGCCGCAGAGAAUCGGCCCAAGCAACUGUUUACCAAAAACACAGGUUUGUGCUAAAUCGAAAGAUGACGUAUACGAGCUGACGCCUGCCCGGUGCUGGAAGGUUAAGAGGAGAUGUGCAAGCAUUGAAUCGAAGCCCCAGUGAACGGCGGCCGUAACUAUAACGGUCCUAAGGUAGCGAAAUUCCUUGUCAGGUAAG
rnacentral:rRNA from 1 species